GAACUGAAGAGUUUGAUCAUGGCUCAGAUUGAACGCUGGCGGUAUGCUUAACACAUGCAAGUCGAACGGUAACAGGCAAAGCUUGCUUUGCGCUGACGAGUGGCGGACGGGUGAGUAACGCGUGGGAAUCUGCCUAUUAGUGGGGGACAACCUGGUGAAAACCAGGCUAAUACCGCAUACGCCCUACGGGGGAAAGCAGGGGAUCUUCGGACCUUGCGCUAAUAGAUGAGCCCGCGUUAGAUUAGCUAGUUGGUGAGGUAAUGGCUCACCAAGGCGACGAUCUAUAGCUGGUCUGAGAGGACGAUCAGCCACACUGGGACUGAGACACGGCCCAGACUCCUACGGGAGGCAGCAGUGGGGAAUAUUGGACAAUGGGCGCAAGCCUGAUCCAGCA
rnacentral:rRNA from 1 species